GAUGAACGCUGACAGAAUGCUUAACACAUGCAAGUCUACUUGAAUUUGGGUUUUUUAACUUAGAUUUGGGUGGCGGACGGGUGAGUAACGCGUAAAGAACUUGCCUCACAGCUAGGGACAACAUUUGGAAACGAAUGCUAAUACCUGAUAUUAUGAUUAUAAGGCAUCUUAGAAUUAUGAAAGCUAUAUGCGCUGUGAGAGAGCUUUGCGUCCCAUUAGCUAGUUGGAGAGGUAACGGCUCACCAAGGCGAUGAUGGGUAGCCGGCCUGAGAGGGUGAACGGCCACAAGGGGACUGAGACACGGCCCUUACUCCUACGGGAGGCAGCAGUGGGGAAUAUUGGACAAUGGACCAAGAGUCUGAUCCAGCAAUUCUGUGUGCACGAUGAAGUUUUUCGGAAUGUAAAGUGCUUUCAGUUGGGAAGAAAAAAAUGACGGUACCAACAGAAGAAGAGACGGCUAAAUACGUG
rnacentral:rRNA from 1 species